UUCUUUUCUUUUCUUUUUCAUUUCUCCCUUGUGUUUCCCUUCCUUUCCUCACUGACCCUUGCUGUGUCAGCCUUUCUAUGCAUGAUCGGUUUGCUGUGAUCUAUGGAAAACUCCCACCUCAGGAAUUUGAAGCCUGUGCCAUUCCAGAAGCACCAAUAGUUUAUCUGGAAGCUGAAGGAAUACUGAAAACGAAGCCACUGUUGCCAUCUGUUGCCUGAUUGGACUAUAACAACUGUGACACAGCUGAAGAUGAGCAAGAGGAAAUUAAGCUGGGAGGAAGCUUUGUGACAUUCUUCUCCUGGAGGGCAAUUCCAGACAUACUCAGAUGGUGACGUGAGCCUACACCUCUCUCUGGAUGCAGGAUCCUAACAUCACGUGCCUGCAGGAGCAACAGGACGCCCUUGAACUUGUGGAACAAUUUCUCUUUGAAAGAAAACCUCGGAGCUACCCUGCCAGAAGAAACUAGCUGUUUCCAGGAGAUAUUUUUUUUCAGUAUUCAGAGGGAUAAUACUAAAUAACUCCGUUCAACAGAAGUACCCUCACAGAAAGAACGUUUGACACCACAACUUCAUCUUUUAUUAAGGAUUGUAUGUACCACUGAUCAUUUGGAGAACAUAUUUCCUUUCUGGUGAAAUUGCUGUUGAAGAUACUUUCCAUUAGCUUGUUUUGUGUCCUUUAUGUAAAACUCCGUCAGUGACCCCUCUUAAGAGUUUUAGUGCCCUGACGGACUAUGUCUAUUGUGACACUUCCUGUAAUCAACCAGAGAGUGCAAUGUAUCUCCUCCUGCAGUGCUUUCCUGCCCAGCUUUCUAGCUGGUUCCAAAAAGUAAAGCUAAGUGUACAUGCCGCUGCAGAGGUUAUAUUUAGCCAAAGUUUUCUUACCCAUCCAUCUCUUCUUUUUUGUUCUUGAUCUCAUCUUCUUUUUCUAGUUUUGCUAGAUCUGAUCGUACUUGCAUCUUAAUAUAGAAUAUCAUAGGUUUAUAAAUGACAAAUAAAUAAUAAAAUUUGAGCUUGUUGAAAAUGUUAAAGACCACAAAAGGACGUUUUUGUCUGUGUUUGAAAAUAGAAGAACAGGAAGUGAUCACCAGGCUGCCUGUGGCAGAUGGUGUAAUGAUAACAGAUAAUAAAACUAUU